rnacentral:tRNA from 2 species
CCCUGGUUAGCUCAGUCGGUAGAGCGCUCCACUGGAAAUGGAGAGGUCCCGGGUUCGAUACCCGCGCCAAGCG